GAAGAACCCAGCAAAAUGGGGAUCUCCAGAGUCAUCCUUGAAAUGUGUCUAUUGGGUCAAGUUCUAUCUUCAGCUUCUUUGCUUUCCACGGAGGAGCCUCUGAUGACAGCUGCAGAAGCUGCUCAGUCCCAGGCAACAUUCUGGCCAG